rnacentral:piRNA from 2 species
GGAGUUGGAAUAGGAGCUUGCUCC